GAUGAACGCUGGCCGCGUGCCUAACACAUGCAAGUCGAGCGAAGUGGGGACGGGUGAGUAACACGCGGAUAGCCUCCUAUAAGACCGGGAUAACUUCGGGAAACCUGCGCUAAACCGGAUACUUAUAGAUGGACCCGCGCUUCAUUAGCUAGUUGGUAAGGUAACGGCUUACCAAGGCAACGAUGCAUAGCCGACCGGAGAGGGUGAUCGGCCACACUGGGACUGAGACACGGUCCAGGCUCCUACGGGAGGCAGCAGUAGGGAGUCUUCCGCAGUGGGCGAAGACCUGACAAGGCAUCGGCACGUAGGUGAUGACGGUCAUCGGCUCGUAAAACACUGUUAUUAGGAAGGCGGUACCUAAUCAGAAAGCGACGGCUAACUGCGUGCCAGCAGCCGCGGUAAUAC
rnacentral:rRNA from 1 species